GAUGAACGCUGGCGGCGUGCCUAAUACAUGCAAGUCGAGCGAACAGACGAGGAGCUUGCUCCUCUGAUGUUAGCGGCGGACGGGUGAGUAACACGUGGAUAACCUACCUAUAAGACUGGUAUAACUUCGGGAAACCGGCGCUAAUCCCGUAUAACAUGUUGAACCGCAUGGUUCAACAGUGAAAGACGGUCUUGCUGUCACUUAUAGAUGGAUCCGCGCCGCAUUAGCUAGUUGGUAAGGUCACGGCUUACCAAGGCAACGAUGCGUAGCCGACCUGAGAGGGUGAUCGGCCACACGGGAACUGGAACACGGUCCAGACUCCUACGGGAGGCAGCAGUAGGGAAUCUUCCGCAAUGGGCGAAAGCCUGACGGAGCAACGCCGCGUGAGUGAAGAAGGUCUUCGGAUCGUAAAACUCUGUUAUGAGGGAAGAACAAAUGUGUAAGUAACUAUGCACGUCUUGACGGUACCUAAUCAGAAAGCCACGGCUAACUACGUG
rnacentral:rRNA from 1 species